GGAUCAUUGUCGAAAUCGAACGGAAGAACGACCCGCGAAUCGUCAUUGCGUAGUAGACAGAGCCCGUGAGCACCUAACGCUCAUGGGUCUCGCGUCGCGUCGGCGCGGGUGUACUCGAGACCCGCGUCGUACCGGCGGACAAACAACGUCAGCACGGAUCGUGCCAAGGAGCUGCAUGGAGAGAAUCGUCGUCCCACGCCCUCGAUAGUCCUCGACGCGGGACGGGGGAUGUACGCAAUCUCUACUCAAGUCUAAACGACUCUCGGCAACGGAUAUCUCGGCUCUUGCAUCGAUGAAGAACGUAGCGAAAUGCGAUACUUGGUGUGAAUUGCAGAAUCCCGUGAACCAUCAAUUCUUUGAACGCAAGUUGCGCCCGAAGCCAUUCGGCCGAGGGCACGCCUGCCUGGGCGUCGUGAAUCCCCUUGCCCCUAGGCACCCGCAUGAGCAUUGGCGGGGAUAUAUGCUCGGGCGCAGAAUAUGGCCUCCCGUGGGAUCGGCAUGCGCGGCAUGUCGAGGUGCGGUUGGCCGAAAAUCGAGCAUGGCGGUGACGGGCACCACGGCGUUCGGUGGAUCGAACGAGAUUGGCUGCGUCGUGGGCUCGGCAUGCGGCGGGCUCCGGACUUUGAAUAUCCCCGAGUGCGAUCCCAGGUCAGGCGGGGCUACCCGCUGAGUUUAAGCAUAUCAAUAAGCGGAGGAAAAGAAACUAACGAGGAUUCCCUUAGUAGCGGC
rnacentral:rRNA from 1 species